UAAUACAUGCAAGUCGAGCGGAGUUUUUAAAAGCUUGCUUUUAAAAACUCAGCGGCGGACGGGUGAGUAACACGUGGGCAACCUGCCCUGUAGACUGGGAUAACUUCGGGAAACCGAAGCUAAUACCGGAUAAUCAUAGAAGUUGCAUAGCUUCUAUGUAAAAGUUGGGUUUACCUAACACUACASGAYSGSCCCGCGUCGCAUUAGCUAGUUGGUAAGGUAACGGCUUACCAAGGCGACGAUGCGUAGCCGACCUGAGAGGGUGAUCGGCCACACUGGGACUGAGACACGGCCCAGACUCCUACGGGAGGCAGCAGUAGGGAAUCUUCCGCAAUGGACGAAAGUCUGACGGAGCAACGCCGCGUGAGCGAUGAAGGCCUUCGGGUCGUAAAGCUCUGUUGUUAGGGAAGAACAAGUACCAUUCAAAUAGGGUGGUACCUUGACGGUACCUAACGAGAAAGCCACGGCUAACUACGUGCCAGCAGCCGCGGUAAUACGUAGGUGGCAAGCGUUGUCCGGAAUUAUUGGGCGUAAAGCGCGCGCAGGCGGUCUCUUAAGUCUGAUGUGAAAGCCCACGGCUCAACCGUGGAGGGUCAUUGGAAACUGGGA
rnacentral:rRNA from 1 species